GGUCGUAGGCGAUGGACAACAGGUUGAUAUUCCUGUACUACCUUUAGCGUUAAAACGAGGCAGUGACACAGGAGGAUAGGCAGAGCGGGUUGAUGGUAGAACCCGUCCAAGCAUUUAGGGAGACAGAGUAGUGAAGUACGCUUUGUUGAUAAUUCUGAGAUGUGAUGGGGACAGAAAAUAAGUAUGGAAGCUGCUGAAUCCACACUGGCGAGAAAAGCUGCUAGGAGCGAAGAGGUACCCGUACCGCAAACCGACACAGGUAGGCGAGGAGAGAAUCCUAAGAUGAGCGAGAUAACCAUUGUUAAGGAACUCGGCAAAAUGACCCCGUAACUUAGGGAGAAGGGGUGCCUAGAAAUAGGUCGCAGAGAAUAGGUCCAAGCGACUGUUUAGCAAAAACACAGGUCUGUGCGAAAUCGAGAGAUGAAGUAUACGGGCCGACGCCUGCCCAGUGCCGGAAGGUUAAGGGGAAAUGUUAGUCGAAAGGCGAAGCAUGGAACUUAAGCCCCGGUGAACGGCGGCCGUAACUAUAACGGUCCUAAGGUAGCGAAAUUCCUUGUCAGGUAAGUUCUGACCCGCACGAAUGGCGUAACGAUUUGGACGCUGUCUCAACAAUGGACUCGGCGAAAUUGUAGUACCGGUGAAGAUGCCGGUUACCCGCGAUAGGACGGAAAGACCCCGUAGAGCUUUACUGUAGCUUGGCAUUGGAUUUCGGCAUUGGAUGUACAGGAUAGGUGGGAGACAUGGAAGCGAGUACGCCAGUAUUCGUGGAGUCGCCCUUGGGAUACCACUCUUCUGAUGUUGAGGUUCUAACAACAGGCCGUGAUCCGGCUGUUGGACAGUACCAGGUGGGCAGUUUGACUGGGGCGGUCGCCUCCCAAAGAGUAACGGAGGCGCCCAAAGGUCUCUUCAGCAUGGUCGGAAAUCAUGCAUUAGAGUGCAAAGGCAUAAAGAGGCUUGACUGCGAGAGAGACAUUUCGAGCAGGUACGAAAGUAGGGCUUAGUGAUCCGGCGGUAUGAGAGUGGAAUUGCCGUCGCUCAACGGAUAAAAGCUACCUCGGGGAUAACAGGCUUAUCUCCCCCAAGAGUCCACAUCGACGGGGAGGUUUGGCACCUCGAUGUCGGCUCGUCGCAUCCUGGGGCUGUAGUAGGUCCCAAGGGUUUGGCUGUUCGCCAAUUAAAGCGGCACGCGAGCUGGGUUCAGAACGUCGUGAGACAGUUCGGUCCCUAUCCAUCGUGGGCGUAAGAAGUUUGAGAGGAGCUGUUCUUAGUACGAGAGGACCGGGAUGGACGCACCGCUGGUGUACCAGUUGUUCUGCCAAGGGCAUAGCUGGGUAGCUAAGUGCGGACGGGAUAAGCGCUGAAGGCAUCUAAGCGUGAAGCCCCCCUCAAGAUGAGACUUCUCAUCCUUUAAGGAGUAAGACCCCUUGUAGACUAUGAGGUUGAUAGGCCGCGGGUGUAAGUGCAGUAAUGUAUUUAGCUGAGCGGUACUAAUAGGUC
rnacentral:rRNA from 1 species